AUUAUAACAAUGGAAUUUCAGAAAUUUGCCUAAUUGAUGCAAAUUACCUUUUCACCCUUAUGACUCCAAGAAGACAAACUAUCUUCUUCUUUCUCUAUACUCUUCCAUACGUGUUAAACCAAGAAACAUUACUUUCCAGUUGUCACUCAUUCUUCUCAUUCUAGCUUACUCAUCAAUUGUAAAAUCCCUGGUUUCAUUCUUUCUCUCACAAAAAUCCCACGGUAUUGAAAUUAGAUGGUUUUGUAAUACCAUUAACAUGAUAUCAUGGAUUACGUUAUUUUCCCCCCUUCAUUCCUAUAUAAAUACCCAGUUAAUCUGGCCAUAAAACUCAGACAACAAACAACAAUUCAUAGCAAAUUAAUCCAAAGAAAGCUACUUUCUAAAGCCCUUAGAAACUCCCUUGUUUCAUACUUGUUCUUGACCACCACUAUAGCCACCAUGGCUCCUCCACCACUGCAAACUAUUUCUGCUACCGUCAUCAACAUGACACUCCUUACAGAAAGCACAAACGAGUAACAACCAAUACCCACAAAUGUCGUGCCUAAGUUGUAUAUUCUGUUGCUGAAACCGCACCCGAACUCGGGUAUUACCUCUUUCUCUCUCUCAUAACCGAUGCGAACAACCACCACAACAACCACCCAUACCACCGCCCAUAAAAUCUGGUGAGUUUUCCAGCCACCAUGGACGCCACCCUUGUUUGGUCGUCGUCCGCUCACGCAACUCCAUCUCCCUCCUCUUCUUCAUACUCUUUUAUUAAGAAAGGAGUAAUUAAUUGGUCCUCGAAGCUCAGGAUGAAGAUCCAUCAAACAGGAAGUAUAAACUACGGUUGAGGUACAAAGAAGAUCAUAGGAUGCCUUAGAGUGAGGAUGCAACCACCAAAUUCACGAUCGAUCUUCAGUAAAGAUAACUAUGUCUCACUAGUAAUAAUGGAUGUAUUAUUUAAACUCUAAGUUUAAUUUCAAGAAUUGAAUAUUAAUAUUUAAUCAAUGCUAGAAGUGUUUAUUAUUAAAGAUUAUUUAGUAAUUUAAAAAGGUUAUGUCGCCUUAUAUUUUCUACGAGGGAGAUACGACAUGUGACGCUCCGACUAAGCUAGGAUUUUCCGCUGCUAAUUAAAGAUAAUUAACCUAAUUAAUGGUGUUUAGAAGUCGGGGUGUUACACCUUCCCUUUCGGGAAUGGGGACAAAAGUAGGUGUCUACAGUUAGCCCCCACUUUGAAUGAGUCUUGGAAUAAGACGAUGGUCAAAGUACUAGACGGAGUGCGCCACACAAGCCAUGGUGACCUGUUUUUGCGAGGGUCUCACGAGCCCCCGAGUGAUAACAUUUGACUUAAGGGUCAUCACUUGGAGUGUCGACAUAUCCCUCACGUGUCAUUGGGUUUUGUCAACGGAUAGUAUAGAAUACUCCCUCACUUUGUCAUUGGAAGUAUCUAAAGAGGCGUAGAAACUCCCUCACUUUGCCAUUGGGAGUAGCUACAGAUGUUUUCGAAAUCAAAGCUAUAAAGUGUAAUUGGGUCUGGCCAAGCCCAACCACGAGGUAAAAAUGUUUUUAAAGAUUCUCAUUUUCAGGGUUAGCUAAACGAGAAAAACCCCCUUGUUUUUAUGGGACGUAAAAUGAAGGAAAAUCCAGCACAUCGUUCUUUUUUGGAAAAACGGAAAAUCAAUCCUUUAAUUUUUGGAAAAAGGGAAAACCGAUCCUUUAAUUUUUGGAAAAAGGGAAAAUCGAUCCUUUAAUUUUUGGAAAAAGGGAAAACCGAUCCUUUAAUUUUUGGAAAAAGGGAAAACCAGAAAAAGUUGUCGCUGCAGCGACUAAGGACCUGCGCGGUUAGUGGCGCAGACCCCGCCGGCUAAAGAUGGCGAGCCUAUCCGCUAAAGGUGGACACCCCAUCCGAUAGAAGUGGACGAAUCUGUUUUAAGGUUUGUUUGCUUUUUUUUUUUGAAAAUAAGGACCUACAUGGUUUGUGACGUAGACCCCGCCGGCUGAAGAUGGCGAGCCUAUUUUGAAUUUGAAGACUUUAUUUUUCGAAAACUGAGGACCUGCGCGGCUAGUGACGCAGACCCCGCCCGCUGAAGGUGGGCGAGCCCUGUCCGCUAAGGGUGGACGCCCCGCUCGCUGGAGGAGCGAAUUCUUUCGAGGGAUGCUCGGAUUUAGUUGCAACCUGAAUGUGGGUUGACAACGUGCUUAGAUGGACCAUUGUCUUGUGUUCAUCUUCUUUCAUGGUUUUGAGCUAGUAUUUAUGGCUCAAUUUUUCCAUUACCUGGGUCCUUGAUUAGGGGACUAUGUAUAAGUAUCAACGGCGACAUUUGUCUUGAGGUCGUAAUCCGGUUUUAUCUUUUGAGAUUAUCCAAACACGGGACUUUGUACAGCGUAGUCUGGGAAUAUUGUUUUAACUUUGCAUACUUUUUUUUAGAUAUAUUUUUUUUCUUUCGAGCCACCAAGCACUCGUGCUUGACGGUCAUUUCUUGUCAAAGGGAUUCCUUGGGGAUACGCAAUUUGUGAUGUCCUUGAUCAUGUUUUGGGAUUGUGCUCGUAAGUGCGAGCGAUCUUUGUAGUGGUGUGCUACUCUUGACAAAGUCGUGAGGUGCGACUUUCAGUAAGGAAAUCGGCAAUUUUCGAGUCGAAUGGAUGCGGCAGGGCCCACUAGAAGUUAGGGCCUUUUUUUGAGCCAGGGUACAUUUUCGGCGCCCAGGCCUGGGCGUUGAAAUAAUUCACGCCCAGGUGGGGCGUUGAAAGUGUUGUUUGGGCUGGUCUUUUGAUGACACAGUUGGCCUCCUGUUCAUUCGUUUAUUUCACUUGGAAGUUCUAUGUAUUCUCUUUUCUUUUGUUUUUUCUUUGUUUUUAGAACGUGAUGAUUUUCUUGAGAAGCCGUAGCCGAUUGGUGGACUACGGUGCUUGUCGCUUUGGGGCGAUUAUUUUAAGGAACUGUUGCUCUUAAGGCGUACAGUUAUUGCGAUAGUUGGGCGAGUCUAUAUGGCCCGAGGAACAUACCUUGAGGCGUAAGACUUUGACCGCUCUUGUUGUUGUAUAUCUUUCCUUUUGAACGCGUUCGUGAAUGUUCGAUACUUAGAAUGAUGAUAUGUAUGUGCGAACGAGCGUUCAUAGAAUGGCCGUUGUGUGCGGUCCAUUA